CCUACGGGAGGCAGCAGUGGGGGAUAUUGCACAAUGGGGGAAACCCUGAUGCAGCGACGCCGCGUGUGGGAAGACGGUCCUCUGGAUUGUAAACCACUGUCUCCAGGGACGAAAAUGACGGUACCUGGGGAGGAAGCUCCGGCUAACUACGUGCCAGCAGCCGCGGUAAUACGUAGGGAGCGAGCGUUGUCCGGAAUUACGGGGUGAAAAGGGAGCGUAGGCGGGACUGCAAGUUGGGUGUCAAAUCUACCGGCUCAACCGGUAGCCGCACUUAAAACUGCAGUUCUUGAGUGAAGUAGAGGCAGGCGGAAUUCCUGGUGUAGCGGUGAAAUGCGUAGAUAUUAGGAGGAACACCAGUGGCGAAGGCGGCCUGCUGGGCUUUUACUGACGCUGAGGCUCGAAAGUGUGGGGAGCAAACAGGAUUAGAUACCCCAGUAGUC
rnacentral:rRNA from 1 species